rnacentral:rRNA from 1 species
UACGUAGGGUGCGAGCGUUAAUCGGAAUUACUGGGCGUAAAGCGUGCGCAGGCGGUUUUGUAAGUCAGAUGUGAAAGCCCCGGGCUUAACCUGGGAAUGGCAUUUGGGACUGCAAGGCUCGAGUGCGGCAGAGGAGACUGGAAUUCCUGGUGUAGCAGUGAAAUGCGUAGAUAUCAGGAGGAAUACCGAUGGCGAAGGCAGGUCCCUGGGCUGACACUGACGCUCAUGCACGAAAGCGUGGGGAGCAAACAGG